rnacentral:rRNA from 1 species
CCCUACGGGGGGCAGCAGUGGGGAAUAUUGCACAAUGGGGGAAACCCUGAUGCAGCAACGCCGCGUGAGUGAAGAAGUAUUUCGGUAUGUAAAGCUCUAUCAGCAGGGAAGAAAAUGACGGUACCUGAGUAAGAAGCCCCGGCUAACUACGUGCCAGCAGCCGCGGUAAUACGUAGGUGGCAAGCGUUAUCCGGAUUUACUGGGUGUAAAGGGCGUGUAGGCGGGACUGCAAGUCAGAUGGGAAAAUUAUGGGCUCAACCCAUAACCUGGAUUUGAAACUGGAGUUCUUGAGUGAUGGAGAGGCG